GGGUGCGAUCAUACCAGCAUUAAUGCACCUAAUCCUAUCAGAACUCCCCAGUUAAGUACGCUUGGGCUAGAGUAGUACUGGGAUGGGUGACCUCCCGAGAAGUCCUAGUGUUGCACCCU
rfam:Picea glauca, whole genome shotgun sequence.